rnacentral:lncRNA from 1 species
CAUCACGCCAUUCUCUCUUCACUAAAUCUGAUUUAGCAUGAGAAAACCAUAGCCAAUACCCCCCGUUGUCGCUCAUUAGUGAUAGGAUAAGGUUGGUUUUGUUUUGAACUAAAAGUUGUUUGAAUUUCAAAACAAAUAUUAAUCCUUAUCCUCCCAUGCACCGACCCCGGGUGAAGGGCGCUUAAUAUGUGCAACAAAAGAAGUUUUCUUGAAUUUUUUCCCAUGCCAAAAGUUUUGUUUGGCCUCUUCUUUUAUCUGAAUUUGGAUGGGAUCUAGUA